GAUGAAGAACGUAGCGAAAGGCGAUACGUAAUGUGAAUUGCAGAAUUCAGUGAAUCAUCGAGUCUUUGAACGCACAUUGCGCCCCCUGGUAUUCCGGGGGGCAUGCCUGUCCGAGCGUCAUUGCUGCCCUCAAGCACGGCUUGUGUGUUGGGCCUCCGUCCUCCUCCCGGGGGACGGGCCCGAAAGGCAGCGGCGGCACCGCGUCCGGUCCUCGAGCGUAUGGGGCUUCGUCACCCGCUCUUGUAGGCCCGGCCGGCGCUUGCCGACACAUCAAUCUUUUUUCCAGGUUGACCUCGGAUCAGGUAGGGAUACCCGCUGAACUUAAGCAUAUCAAUAAGCGGAGGA
rnacentral:misc_RNA from 1 species